UGUGUGUGUGUGUGUGUGUGUGUGUGUGUGUGUGUGUGUGUGUGUGUGUGUGUGUGUGUGUGUGUGUGUGUGUGUUUGGGGUUGUGACAGUGGGUUGACAGUUGGCUCCAUGGCCGAUGUCUUUGUGUAUAAUCCUGACUGAGGUACACACACACACACACACACGUGUGUUAGGAAGACUCCAUUACAUAGAACAUAUACCACAAUUACAAAUAGGUUCAUCGAGAACUCGAUUUAAUGGGCUGUUUAUUAUGGUGCUCUGGUAUCUUGGAAAAUGGCUGAACGCUAAAAGAUGUAGCCUGUGCUUAGCUGUGUUUAUGUGUGAACUGCAGGGAAUGAACCCUUUGACAUGCUGUGGUGUGUCUUUUUGUCUGCUUUCAAUCAGAGAAAUACUCUAUUUUAACAUUCAGCACAUUACGGACUUCACAAAGACCAGAUGACAACAGUGAGGUUGAUGUAAUUGGAGAGAGAGAGGGGUGGGACUAUGAAUUCCUUGUGGCCUUAGAUAGAGGAGGAGAGUGUCUUCCUCAUCACGGCCUCCGAUAGAGGAGGAGAAUGGCUUCCUCAUCGCGGCCCCAGAGGAGAAUGGGUUCCUCAUCGCGGCCUCCGAUAGAAGAGAAUGGCUUCCUCAUCGCGGCCUUCGACAGAGAAGGGAGUGGUAGAGGGAGACUGCCUACACCGGCCAAACCCUAACCCGGACGCCGUUGGGCCAAUUGUGCGCUGCCCUAUGGGACUCCUAAUCACGGCCGGUUGUGAUACAGCCUGGAAUCGAACCAGGAUGUCUGUAGUGACGCCUCUAGCGCUGAGAUGAAGUGCCUACGACCGCUGCGGCCACUCGGGAUUCCGUGAUUCGGUGAUUCCGUUCACCUUCUCCGCACCGCAGAUUUGAUAGGGACCUUCUAAUAGUGUGUCUAGCUGUGGUAGAGAGACUGGCUGGAAGCAGAAUGGACUGGGGAAGGGCGGGAGGUCACAUUUGAACUCUAUGGCACCCUAGUCCCUUUAUAGUGCACUUCAGACUCCUGGUCCAAACUAGUGGUUGUCGUCUCACAACAUUCGUGACUCGUCCUGCUCCACUUGCACUGUAGUCAACGUGUGUCGUUUUUCCACAGAAUGUGAAGACUUCAUCUUCCGGUAGUUUCCACGUUAAUAUAAUAACACCAUUGAAUCCAGCUCAGUCUUCAAAGAGGAAGUGGUAGAAUCCUUCAGGGAGAACUUUAUAGAACUCUGCCGAGGUCGUGCUGUGAAUCUUAAGAUAAUGCAGUGCCUAAUUCUGCACAUACAGAGAGAGAUACACUGCACAGUGCCUAAUUCUGCAUAUACAGAGAUACACUGCACAGUGCCUAAUUCUGCAUAUACAGAGAUACACUGCACAGUGCCUAAUUCUGCAUAUACAGAGAUACACUGCACAGUGCCUAAUUCUGCAUAUACAGAGAUACACUGCACAGUGCCUAAUUCUGCAUAUUCGGAGCUACGCUCCACGGGUGCUACCGUUGCAUAUUCACAGGCAAUAAAGAGCAAUUCUAAGGCUUAUAUAUAUUUGGUGGCUUGGAGCUCUGCUAAGCUGAAAGGAUAGGAAGGUGAGGCACUGACUGUCAUGCCCCAGAGCUUUCUGCAUAGUUGGGCGACAUCCUACCUGCCGUGGUGUAGGAUGAGGUAGAAGGUAGAAUUAAGGGCUUUGAUGGAAUCACAGCGGUGUGGGAUAAUCAUUGGUGUACCUUAGAUUCUGAGCAAAGAGUCCUUAAAAAUGAGUCUGUAGGUAGAUGGGCCUCUUCUGUAUUAGACCCCCUAUAAAAUGAGUCUAGGUAGAUGGGCCUCUUCUAUAUUAGAACCCCUAUAAAAUGAGUCUGGGUAGAUGGGCCUCUUCUUUAUUAGACCCCCUAUAAAAUGAGUCUGUAGGUAGAUGGGCCUCUUCUAUAUUAGACCCCCUAUAAAAUGAGUCUGUAGGUAGAUGGGCCUCUUCUAUAUUAGACCCCCUAUAAAAUGAGUCUGUAGGUAGAUGGGCCUCUUCUAUAUUAGACCCCCUAUAAAAUGAGUCUGUAGGUAGAUGGGCCUCUUCUAUAUUAGACCCCCUAUAAAAUGAGUCUGUAGGUAGAUGGGCCUCUUCUUUAUUAGACCCCCUAUAAAAUGAGUCUGUAGGUAGAUGGGCCUCUUCUUUAUUAGACCCCCUAUAAAAUGAGUCUGUAGGUAGAUGGGCCUCUUCUUUAUUAGACCCCCUAUAAAAUGAGUCUGUAGGUAGAUGGGCCUCUUCUUUAUUAGACCCCCUAUAAAAUGAGUCUGUAGGUAGAUGGGCCUCUUCUUUAUUAAAACCCCAUGUCUGAGAGGAGCUUGUUGUUCGGCUCCAAUAGAUACUGAGACUUACCUCCUGGCUGGCCCAAUAGAUACUGAGACUUACCUCCUGGCUGGCCCA